UACUACAAGUACAUGUACAAGGUAUACAGUCCUAGCUGACAUCACUGACAUACUACAAGUACAUGUACAAGGUAUACAGUCCUAGCUGACAUCACUGACAUACUACAAGUACAUGUACAAGGUAUACAGUCCUAGCUGACAUCACUGACAUACUACAAGUACAUGUACAAGGUAUACAGUCCUAGCUGACAUCACUGACAUACUACAAGUACAUGUACAAGGUAUACAGUCCUAGCUGACAUCACUGACAUACUACAAGUACAUGUACAAGGUAUACAGUCCUAGCUGACAUCACUGACAUACUACAAGUACAUGUACAAGGUAUACAGUUCUAG